rnacentral:rRNA from 1 species
GGGGUCAUUAGGUUGGUCGUGCCACCGGUACGUACUGGUCUCACUGAUUCCUCCUUCCUGAAGAACCGUAAUGCCAUUAAUUUGGUGUUGCGGGGAAACAGGACUGUUACUUUGAAAAAAUUAGAGUGUUUAAAGCAAGCUAACGCUUGAAUACAUUAGCAUGGAAUAAUGAAAUAGGACGAUCGAUCCUAUUUUGUUGGUUUCCAGGAUUGACGUA